CCUACGGGAGGCAGCAGUGAGGAAUAUUGGUCAAUGGGCGAGAGCCUGAACCAGCCAAGUCGCGUGAAGGAUGAAGGAUCUAUGGUCUGUAAACUUCUUUUAUAAAGGAAUAAAGUGAGGCACGUGUGCCUUUUUGUAUGUACUUUAUGAAUAAGGAUCGGCUAACUCCGUGCCAGCAGCCGCGGUAAUACGGAGGAUCCGAGCGUUAUCCGGAUUUAUUGGGUUUAAAGGGAGCGUAGAUGGGUUGUUAAGUCAGUUGUGAAAGUUUGCGGCUCAACCGUAAAAUUGCAAUUGAUACUGGCAGCCUUGAGUACAGUUGAGGUAGGCGGAAUUCGUGGUGUAGCGGUGAAAUGCUUAGAUAUCACGAAGAACUCCGAUUGCGAAGGCAGCUUACUAAACUGCAACUGACAUUGAUGCUCGAAAGUGUGGGUAUCAAACAGGAUUAGAUACCCUGGUAGUC
rnacentral:rRNA from 1 species